GGGCCCGCACAAGCGGUGGAGUAUGUGGUUUAAUUCGAUGCAACGCGAAGAACCUUACCAGGGUUUGACAUCCUGCGAAUCUCUUGGAAACAGGAGAGUGCCUUCGGGAACGCAGUGACAGGUGGUGCAUGGCUGUCGUCAGCUCGUGUCGUGAGAUGUUGGGUUAAGUCCCGCAACGAGCGCAACCCUUAUCCUAUGUUGCCAGCAUUUAGUUGGGGACUCGUAGGAGACUGCCGGGGUCAACUCGGAGGAAGGUGGGGAUGACGUCAAGUCAUCAUGCCCCUUAUGCCCAGGGCUGCAAACACGCUACAAUGGCUGGUACAGAGGGCUGCGAACCCGCGAGGGCAAGCGAAUCCCAUAAAGCCAGUCUCAGUUCGGAUUGGAGUCUGCAACUCGACUCCAUGAAGUCGGAAUCGCUAGUAAUCGU
rnacentral:rRNA from 1 species